rnacentral:lncRNA from 1 species
CUUACAGCUGUAUCCCCAGCAGUUUGCCAGGCUUGGUGCUACCAGUGUGGACAUGGAUGUCACUGGGACAGCUGGUCCCACUGCUUGACCCCCCUAGCUUGCUGCCUGCCCCCCUGCUCUGGACCAGUUUCCAUUAUACCUUCCUCCCAGACCCAGCGUUUCCAACCAGUUCUGUCACUACAAGAUGCCGCCCCUGUUUGCCAAGGUUGAGGGCAAAGGAAAUGGAAUCAAGGCAGUAAUAGUCAACAUGGUGGACUUGCAGAGGUUGCUGCAUGAUCUUUACUUUUCCAAAGACGAGAUCCACAGUUUUACAGCAUAAUGAAGAACUGUCGUUUUCCUUUAUUCAGCUAGUUUCCUUUAUUCACCUAAAUUUGUGAUUGCUUAGAAAUUUUUAAGAGAAAAUUUUUGUAUGUAUUACAAUGUUAACUACAAUCCAGUCUUUACUUUCUUAAAUGAAAUCAAAUAUUCUGUGAGUACAGGUAACUUGUUGGCUUUAUUUUGUACCAUAACUUAUUUUACUACUAAUAUUUGACCUGGAAAAACAAUCAUAAUAAGUAACAAAUACAUAAAAUAUUCUUUGUUAUGAAUUACAGAUUUCCUUAUUAUUGAAAUUGUAUCACUGUUUUAAAAUAAGCAGCUAUGUUGUAUGACAUGAUAAAGAAAAUGAUCACUUUGAUCACAUUUCUAUGCUAUAAAUUAUUAGCAAUACAGAUUAAAUUUUACAUUGCACUUUUAACUCAGGAAAUGAUCAUUUAUGUCCUUGUUAUUGUUAAGACAUGGAAUGCUGUAACUUAUUGAAUUACCCAGAUAAUUUUGUGUAUACAUUUGGCAUUGAAUCAGUAGAAUAAAAUUAUUCUAUUAUUAUACUAUUAUUAAGUACUUUUUAAUCCUUGUGGUAAAAAUGUGGCUGAAUGCAACAAUAUUGGGCCAAUGACUUAAAAAGAGAAUUUUAAAAGGUACUAAUAAAAGAUAUUGGAG